UAUUAUAUAUAUGAAUGAUUAUUGAAUUCGUAGAUCUAGGUCAAUUCCUUUUGGUUUCGUGUGUAUUGUGUAGAUAACUCUAUACUCGAAACCAUGUAACACUAAACCAGUUUGCACAAAAGCACAUGAAUAGUCGAAAACAGGGCUGAAAACAGGUUUUCAAUUAGUUUGCACAAAAACCAUGUAACACUAAACCAAUAUUCUUGUCUCGGGUUUUUAUUUUGACUUUAGUUUAUUUGACUUAAAAUUGUACUUGUACAGAAUGCAUUUGAAUCUUGGUUGUGUUUUCAGAUAGAGAACGAGUACGGGCCCGUUGAAUGGGAUAUCGGUGCCCCUGGAAAAGCUUACACUAAUGGGCAGCCCAAAUGGCUAACGGUCUAAAAGCUGGUGUCCCUUGGAUCAUGUGCAAACAAGAAGAUGCCCCUUAUCCAAUGGUGAGGUUGAUCAAAUAUUAAAGACUGGCCCCAACGGUUUUGUGCCACCGGAACAACUUUAUGCGACUCAACUGUCACAGUUUCAAGAAAUGGGCUUCUUUGAUACCCAAGAAAACAUCAGGGCGUUGCGUGCUACUGUAGGUAAUGUUCAUGCUGCUGUUGAGAAGCUUUUGGGAAACUUUGGCCCGUGACGACGUGGAGUUGUUUUCUUCUAUUUAAAGACAGCUAAUAUGAGUCCGUUUUUUACAGUAUUCUUUUUUAGACAUAGGGAGGCAUGUGGAUUUUCGUUUGAGCCCGUGUGUGUGUACACAACUUAUUUUGUA